CUUAGAUCAGCGUUAGUCGAGAAUAUAAUUUAUUAUGGAGGGCUUACUUACUUGGUUGAAUGCGAACAAUUGUAUUGAAGUACCUGUUAACUCAAUAGAGCAAUUAAGUGAUGGAGUAGCUCUCUUCCAUCUAGCUGCUGAAGCAAGCCCGAAACAUUUCGAUAAGACCAAAAUAAUAUAUAACGCUCAAAAGGACUCUCUACUAAAGCAAAGCAAUCUCAC